rnacentral:rRNA from 1 species
CAAGAUUGAACUGAAGAGUUUGAUCAUGGCUCAGAUUGAACGCUGGCGGCAGGCCUAACACAUGCAAGUCGGACGGCAGCACG